AGCCAGCUCCCCCGGACUGUUCCUGCUUGGGGGUGGGCUGCUGCUGCCGCUGAUCCCACUGCUGAGGGAAGAGUCUAGUUACCAAAGGCUCGUCUGGGGUUUGCAUGUGAAUAUCCAGAGGCUCUCCGUGCUCAGUGCCACUCGCCUCUCCUUCUCCCUAGCUGCUUCUGCCACCCGCGCCACAGACACAGUCACUGCAUUCUUUAUGGCGGCCCUGAUUUCCUUUGUGUCUUCUAGUUUUGUGCAAUGGGCUCUUGUUCCAGUUCUGUUUUCAGUAUUUAGCGUGAGUUUAGAAUUGUAUACAUGCUCGUGCUUGACUAAAGGGAAAAACAAAACAAAACAAAACAAAAAAAAUCUACACUCAUACUGCUGGAAAAAACAAAAACAAACUAACAAAAAAAAAAAAAAAAAAAAAAAAAAAAAAACGGGCUAUAGAUGGGAAACAUCCACUCCUCCUUACUUCCCAUCUUUACUUGGGUUUGUGGACUGAGUGGAGAAGCACUGCCCCUCAGCUGCUGAUCAACAGCACAAACCUAUAUCAUGUUCGCAAAACUAUCUGAGGCCUGUCCUAGAUCAGAAAGACAAAAGAAAGACUACAACCACCUGGGGAACCAACCAAUCCUUCAUUUCCCUGCAGCUUCUUGGUUCUUAAAGUGGACACAGAAAAAAAUCCCCAUUAAAAACAAAUGCCAGCAUAUAUUUCCCGAGCUCUACAAAACUUAAAACUUUGUUACCAGGAUACGAUAAAUUACGAUGUUCCAGAUAUCUUUUAUUAUCUUUAGUCCUCGGUUUUCAUUUGUAAAGUGGGUAAUAAUAGCAGUUGUUACGAAAUUAAAUGUAAUUCUUUUUAAAGAGCAGCAGCCCGGCACAAAGUGAAAACCCCAUUAAUUCUUACUUGCUAGUAAGAUAAAGAAAGGGAAGAUUCACUCUUUUAUUAAAGGAUUAUUGAACUCUUACCAUGAGUGAGGCAGUUUAUUUGUGCAUUUUGCAUAUGUGUAUUUAUUUGACUAAUUUUUAGUUAUUAUAAUUAAUUAAAUUUAUUUAAAUAUGGAUUUAAAAUAAUGCUUUAUUUUUUUCAGAUAAACAUCUGAAGGCUUAAACUACAGCAAGUUGAUUUGCUCUGAAUCACACAGGGAUUUGGUAAUGAAGCUGAAAAGUCAUUCUCUCGAUGGCCCUUGGCUCAGUAGGACAAUGGCUUCUGCUUUGAACAGACACACCUUGGGAAGCCUGGCAGUGCGCUGUGUGUGUGUCUGCAGGCGUGCAUGUGUGCAUGCGUGUGCGUGUGUGAGUGUGUAGGGGUGGAGCUGCUCUAGAUUCACAAGGCUAGCUUUUUGAUCGCUGACUGGAAAUCAGACUGGGCAAGUGAAAGGGUGAUCACCAGGGGUCAUCAGAAAUGACACUCCUGGUGUUUCACUCUCUUUGGGUGGGAUGAGCUGAUCUGGAAAAAGAUUCUAUGACUGUUUGGUGCCUCAGGCCACAGCUGGGCUAAUUUUCAGUAAUCUUGGAGCGGAAGAGAGAAAUACAGUUGGCAUAUUUUUAAAGCCACAGCUCUCGCUUUGUGCCCAAAAUAACUCUGCCAUUUCUAGGUUAGGGGUAUAAAGGCAUCACGUGCUCCAAAUCCUGAUUCAAACAUUGGAAUGGCUGGUCUCAUACCUUUCCACUUUCCUAGCUUA
ensembl:processed_transcript Gm10544 predicted gene 10544